GGAAAAAAACAGAAACAAACAACACAUUUUAAAACCACUCUCUUCACCUCCAUGAUUGACUUUACUUUAUCCUUUCAAAACACAAAAACAGCUCCAAACAAACAAUUGUGACCAAAUCUCAUAACUCAUCCAUUUUAAAACUCACCAUAGUGGCAGUCAGACUCAUCCGGUUUGAAUUGUGUUUAGGUGAGAGGAUAAAAUAUAUUGUAUUUUUUAAUGAGCAACUCUGUCUCUUAAACACUGUGUCUGCACAGACCUUUGGAAUCAAAUAAGGGGAGUGGAGGGUGGAGGGGAGGUCAGUUUACUGGAAGAGGUCACCACUAUUUGUAUUUGCCUGAACACAACAAAUAAAGAAAUAGACGAUACAGUGUACAAAGUCAUUUGAAGUCAUUUUUAAGAUCUGAAAAACCCUCCCAUGAGUCAUGUCAAAAUGUCUCAGUCUUUGGCUGGUGGAGUGCCAACAUGGUCUAAUAUGGUUUCUGUUUUUCUUUCUCUUACAGAGUUGUGCUUGAGUACACCAUGAAGAAAUUUAAUAGUAUUUUUUCAUUCAUUUGAAAUUGUAUUAGUUGCUUUUUAUUUUCGAUUCUUGCUCGAACAACAGCAACAAAAGAAAAUAGAUGCAACGUAUAGACCACUCAAAACAAUGACUCCAUCACUUCCUCAUUACUCCACCACGAACAGGACAUAGUACGCGCUACAAGCCUCCGGGUCAAAAACUUUCACGCAGCCAGGGAAUACGAGAGGGAUUGAAAACCUGCAAACACAGAGUUUAACAGAAUAUGUAGAGUAUGAAUUUGACAGUGACCACAGAGCACAAAGCAGCAAAGUCACAGCCAAAUAUUUCUUCACAGGAGCAAAGAACAUCACAGUUUUAAAGGACAGGUCUAUCCUGAAACAAAACUCACAUGCCCAUAUGUACAUUGACAGUUAUUGGUGGCUGUGAUCAUUCCUUCUAUCCAUAUUGGCCAUGAAGAUCUCAGUUUUGUAGUUGAUCUGGAAAUCUAACAUGAUUCCAACGAAAGAGACGGGGUAGUAAACUAUACUAUUCAGUGCUAGGUUGCUCCUUGGUUCCUCGAGUCUUGUCACUGCUCCCCACCAAGUGACAGGCAGAUUUUAUUAGGCUAUAGCCGGGCUACGUUUUAUGAAAGUAAAAUCAUGAGAAUUUUAAUAGGUUAAAUAGGCACUGCAAUGCGUAUUAGAAAUGAAAGUGACUUUGACAUUUCUUCUAAAUGAAAUGAUUUAGAAUGAUUUAUGAUUUUAUAUGUGCACUGCAUUUGAUCCAUUGGAAUUGAAAAAAAGGGCUUUUACAUGAACUUCAUUUCUAUCAGUCUGUAAAAUUUUAAAAAAAAAAUGACAUUGUGAAAAUGAGCCAAUGAGCUCAAAACAGCCACCAACAAUUAUAUUCUCAAAUUAUUUAAGAAAUAAUAACAGAAACUCACCACGAUGACACCAGACUUGUAUGAUUUGAAUGAUGGCUGUGAAAAUUAGGUUUGUGUUGGAAGCACAUAAACCACUAUAGGUCAUCAGAUUAUCAAUCUACUUGUUUUAUUUGGCAGAUUACAUAUGAUAUAUACAACUGUUGGAUAGACUGUCAUGAAAUUUGAUGGACAUAUCCAUGCUCCUCUUAUGGGUAACUGGAUCCCCUGUUUUUUCAUCUAGUCAUCAUCAUCAGGAUACAUUUUCAGUUUGUCCAGUACUUUGGUUGAGGGUGCUAAUUCACAAAUGUUUGCAAGCUAACACUUUAAAACUUAAACUUUAAAUUUUAUUUAUUUAUAUUUUGUUCAAAACACAAGGUGCUUAAUAAUAAAAUGAAAAUAGCUACAAGGAUAUGGAACACCCUGCGCUAAGAUGGUGAACAUGACAAACAUUAUAGCCUACCUUCCAAAUGUCAGCAUGUUAGCAUUGCAAUUGUCAACAUUUUGCCAUGCUGGUAUUAGCAUUUAACUAAAAGCAACACUAUGUUUAAGUACAGCCCCGCAGAAUUGGGCUUUAUAAAACUGAAAUUGAAAUUGAAACUGAAACAUCUGGUGAAGUCUGCAAACACAAAUACAAGUCAGUUUUCUAUCAUGUUGAAAGGGCACUCCAGAAAUUUAGCAUUUACCUUUCUUAAAGACGUAAGAUCUCAAGAGACAGAUUUAAAAAUGGAUGGUCCAAAUCGAAGCAGCAGAGGCUAAGAUAUUAUGACUUUGAAUCAAGUGUGCAUCAAGCUCCAAAAACAAUGGAUCCUACAUUUCCCAUAAUACAACUGAACAGUGUCUUCUGUGAGCCCGCCCACGCCUCCAAAAACCCCACAACUCAAGUUUUUAAGGGAGGCUUCCUGUUAAAAAUGUCCAACCUAAGAUAACCCUGAUGACAUCAUUGAUGUUAUUCUUUCAAACUUUGGAAAGUUUCCUGCAGAGCCACAUAAAACAUUAUACAACUGUUUACACAUCCUGCGUAGUAGCUACUUCUGGUGGUGAGUAACCGAUUUAAACUGGUUAAAAUCAGUGGAGUGCCCUUUAACAUGGUUUGUGUUCUUUAGGAAAUGAUUUUCAUUCUAAUAAAAGUUAUGCAAAAAAUAAAUAUUGAAGAAAGUUGUGAUUUAUGUAUUUAUUCAUCUGAAUUUCAUUCACAGCAUAUUUCAUUUUCAAUUUACUGCAGCUGUGCCUCCUGCUUAAUCGUAUCUCACAACCAACAAAACAGGCGGUGUUUCUUGGUGAGAAGCCAGUGAGGGAUCACACCUGCAUGCCUCUCGCUCUCUCCCCCGAGUAAAUACUUCAGACCUUCAGACCACCCAUUACUUCCCCACUGCGCCAAAAAUUGGACAUAGUACAGAUGGGUCGUCCCUCUUGUGUACUAUGUAUUCACAAGCCUCUGAGUCAAAAA